CAAGUCUUCGGAGAAUUCAUAAUGGUGAGCAGUCUUACACAUGUAAUGAGCAUGUCAAAUUCUUCAGUGUGCUUUCAAGCCUAACUUAAUGCCAUCAGGCAAUCCAUAUUGGUGAGAGACUUUAAUAAUGUAGUGAUGUGACGAGGCUUUUAGCAGGUGUCCCCAUCUUAGGCUUUAUUAGAAAAUUCAUUAUGGAUAGAAACCAGAUAAAUGUAAUUAUUGUGUCCUGUCUUUUAAACGAGGAAUUUAUUCACCGAAGAAUUCAUUCUGGAGAUUACCUCACAAAUGUUAUGAAUGGGAGAGAAAACUUUACUCGGGGCUCGCAUCUCACUAAUCAUAAGACAGUCCAUACUGAACAGAAUGUUACAGCUGUUCUCCACCUUGGGACCGCUUUAUUUUUUUUUAACGCUUCUUAAUACCUGCCUCCAUUCUUGAAUAUGCAGUAUAUGAAUGUAUUUUUUCUUGUUCUUUCAUGUGUCUAAAUAAAUGUCAUGGUGUGCACCUUGA